UUCAAUUAUCUGACAAUAAAAUAGAAUCAAAUGAAUCUUCCAUUAUCUUUGCAGAAUUAUUUGAAGAUGGAUGAGAAUCAUUGACACAGACAUUUAUUUCUCACAGUUCUGGAGGCUGAGAAGUUCAAGUUCAAGGUGCCAGAAGAUUCAAUGUCUGAUGAGGGGACGAGGCUGUAGACGCAGAGGAGACCUGACUGUCUGACCACAGUACUUCCUCCACUGCCAGAGAGAGCGUCUCUGUCAUUCCUGCUCAUCUGGGACUCAGAACUGCUGUGGGUGAGCAGUUGUGUGUUCCUCAUCCUUCUUUUUGCUUAAUAGGAGUUUUUGAAGCAGGGAUCCUGUCCCUGUGUCACCAGUGCACGUGGGACAAGAGGAGCAAUAGCUUGCUUAACAGUUUGCACGACACUGACUCUGAGACCUUGAUAGAGACAACAUACCUUCUAUCCCCUUUGCCCAAACACCACCCCCACUGCACGCCUUUUAUUCAGUCUCUGCUCAAAAUUCAUCUCCCAGCGGCGACCAAAUCACUCCACCUGAAACCACAGCCCAUCUCUUCCUGUCACCUUAUCUUUCCUCACCCUCUUUACACCUCUGUCCUCUCUUCAAAGCACCUAUUAUUUUGCUCCCCGACUGCAGUGUAAACUCUUUCAAGGACACAACUUUGUCUUGUUCCCAGCUGAAGGUCCUGGCACCUAGAAAUGGCCAAUACAUGGUAGGCUGUCAAUAAGUUUUUGCUGGGAAAAAGAUUAAAUAAUUGAGAGUUUCUGAUUUCCAA